rnacentral:snRNA from 1 species
UUACAUACCUGAACGGGGUCAAUGAAUGAUCAAGAAGGCUCGUGGCCUAGGUUAGUGACCUCCAUUGCACACUUGGGAGGGGUCUUAGCCUAAGAUCUCCCCUUUGUGGGUGCAUCUAAAUCAUAAUUUGUUGUUGCUGGGGUGUGCACUUGUGCCUCCCUUAU